rnacentral:rRNA from 1 species
AACGAACGCUGGCGGCAGGCUUAACACAUGCAAGUCGAACGCAUCCUUCGGGGUGAGUGGCAGACGGGUGAGUAACGCGUGGGAACGUGCCCUUCAGUUCGGGAUAACCCAGGGAAACUUGGGCUAAUACCGGAUACGUGCGAGAGCAGAAGGAUUUAUCGCUGAAGGAUCGGCCCGCGUCUGAUUAGCUAGUUGGUGGGGUAAUGGCCCACCAAGGCGACGAUCAGUAGCUGGUCUGAGAGGAUGAUCAGCCACAUUGGGACUGAAACACGGCCCAAACUCCUACGGGAGGCAGCAGUGGGGAAUAUUGGACAAUGGGCGCAAGCCUGCUCCAGCCAUGCCGCGUGAGUGAUGAAGGCCUUAGGGUUGUAAAGCUCUUUCGUCCGGGACGAUAAUGACGGUACCGGAAGAAGAAGCCCCGGCUAACUUCGUGCCAGCCGCCGCAGUAA